GCGAGGAAACCCGCUGAACUUAAGCAUAUCACUAAGCGAGAAAAGA
rnacentral:rRNA from 1 species